rnacentral:lncRNA from 1 species
UUUGGUUGCAAGAACCAAAUGGUAUGUUAGGCCCUAUAGUUAAUGAAACUUUACUGAAAUAUGCAGUACCCAAUGUCGACGUAUGUUGCAACAAAUCUGGAAAAUUGUUUAGAUACCUGGUUGAAUAUUAUUACAAAAUGACCUCUGCUUCUCUCUUGUCACAGAAGAUUUUGUCCUUGUUAUUGAUGCUUGGACUGGACACACUAAUUCUGAAAUUUAUGCAAGUAUCUUUGUCCAUCAAAAUAACUGACCAGAAUGCGAAUUGUAAUAACUCCUGAAAAGUGUACAACACAAUAUCAGCCAUUAGACACAACUGUACAUAGACAAAUAAAAUA